AGAAGAAAGAGGACGUGUAAAAGGACAAAUAAUAUGCACUUUGUCUCCUCUUCUCCAUUUCAUUUUUACUCUUUUUAAAUCCCCCCAUUAAUGUGGUUCUCUAACUUGAACCGGGUUUUAAUCAAAUGAACCCAUCAUUGCCAAUGAUGGCUUGGGCUAACUCAAAUGAAACAACUCAAAUUCAUCCAAAAUCUCAUCAUCUUAUUCACUUGUCAUUCUAUUGGGGAAGAAACACUUGUUUUCUUUUCCCAAAUUGGCCUGGAAAUAGCAAAGGAAUAUUUUAGGUUUUUCUUGGUGGCUGUUGUUGGUCAUGCAGCAGGGAGAUUUGUUUGUAAGGUUUAUCAAUUUCAUACUGAUCAAGAAAUGAGCAUUGAAUUACCAUCUGAGUUGGUAAUUAAAGUGUGAUGGAUCGCUGGUGGAGUCGGAACUUUCAUUUAGAAGUUUGAGAAAAUUUCACGUAUGCAAUGUAAACAUUAAAAUAUUUUUACCCUUUCUGUAAUGUUUCGUAAAUGAAAUUUUGAUGAACCUGAAGUUCAGUUAUAAAAAAUUAAUUUUUUCGCGUAUAA